rnacentral:rRNA from 1 species
AGGACGAACGCUGGCGGCGUGCUUAACACAUGCAAGUCGAGCGGAAAGGCCCUUCGGGGUACUCGAGCGGCGAACGGGUGAGUAACACGUGAGUAAUCUGCCCCUAGCUCUGGGAUAGCUCCGGGAAAACCGGGAUUAAUACCGGAUACGACCACCUUAGACAUCUUUUGUGGUGGAAAGAAUUUCGGCUAGGGAUGAGCUCGCGGCCUAUCAGCUUGUUGGUGGGUAACGCCUACCAAGGCGACGACGGGUAGCCGGCCUGAGAGGGCGACCGGCCACACUGGGACUGAGACACGGCCCAGACUCCUACGGGAGGCAGCAGUGGGAAGUAUUGCGCAAUGGGCGAAAGCCUGACGCAGCGACGCCGCGUGGGGGAUGAAGGCCUUCGGGUUGUAAACCCCUUUCAGCAGGGACGAAGCGAAAGUGACGGUACCUGCAGAAGAAGCGCCGGCUAACUACGCGCCAGCAGCCGC